rnacentral:rRNA from 1 species
GACGAACGCUGGCGGCGUGCCUAAUACAUGCAAGUCGAACGCACAGUUUAUACCGUUGCUUGCUUCACCAUAGACUGUGAGUUGCGAACGGGUGAUUAACGCGUCGGUAACCUGCCUGGUAGCGGGUGAUAACUACUGGAAACGAUAGCUAAUACCGCAUAAUAUUAAUUAUUGCAUGAUAAUUAAUUGAAAGGUGCAAUUGCACCACUACCAGAUGGACCUGCGUUGUAUUAGCUAGUAGGUGAGGUAACGGCUCACCUAGGGGAAGAUACAUAGCCGAGCUGGGAGGGUGAGCGGGCACACAGGGAAUGAGACACGGCCCAAACUCCCACAGGGGGGCACAGGAGGGGAUCUUUGGCAAAGGGGGAAAAUCUGGCCGGGCAAAGCCGCGUGAGAGGAAAAAGGUUUUGGAGCGUAAAAAUCUGUUGUAAGAGGAGAAAGGGAGUGAGAGUGAAAAGUUCACACUGUGACGGUACCUUACCAGAAAGCGACGGCUAACUACGUG